rnacentral:rRNA from 1 species
AUUGAGCGCUGGCGGCAUGCCUUACACAUGCAAGUCGAACGGCAGCACGGGGGCAACCCUGGUGGCGAGUGGCGAACGGGUGAGUAAUACAUCGGAACGUGCCCAGUAGUGGGGGAUAACCAGUCGAAAGACUGGCUAAUACCGCAUACGACCCAAGGGUGACAGCGGGGGACCGUAAGGCCUCGCGCUAUUGGAGCGGCCGAUGUCUGAUUAGCUAGUUGGCGGGGUAAGAGCCCACCAAGGCGACGAUCAGUAGCUGGUCUGAGAGGACGACCAGCCACACUGGGACUGAGACACGGCCCAGACUCCUACGGGAGGCAGCAGUGGGGAAUUUUGGACAAUGGGCGCAAGCCUGAUCCAGCCAUGCCGCGUGCGGGAAGAAGGCCUUCGGGUUGUAACCGCUUUUGGCAGGAACGAAACGGCGCAGGCCAAUACCUUGCGCUAAUGACGGUACCUGCAGAAUAAGCACCGGCUAACUACGUGCCAGCCGCCGCCGUAAUAC